CACCGCGUACGACGGCCGGCGGCGAGGGGGCGGGACCGACGCGGGCCGAGAUCAAUGGAAGAACCAGAUUGGGUGGAAGGAGCGGAAAUGGGGGCCGGCGCGGUCGCGAGAUUCGAAGCUGGCGCGCGGGACCGGGGAUCCGGCUGGUCUUGAGGCAGGAGCCGCACGGAUGGGUCCCCAAGUGUAAUGCGCCCCAGAGAACGCCUUAGUGAGGUUUCUACACGUUCAUCUGUGAGUACAAAUGACAGUCUGCCUGCCCAACUGUGUUCAAGUUGUCUAACGCGCUCUAAAGGAUCAGGAGUGUCCGGUCCAUAAAAGCUCUUCGAAAAGGGGAAUUCCUUUGAGCCGGAUUCGAACCAGCGACCUAAGGAUGACCAUGACCACACAUGUACAGUCCUCCGCUCUACCAACUGAGCUGUCAGGAUGGGUAGCAGGGCUUGUUAGAAUACCUUAAUGUUUCUCCCACUGGUUUUAUUUGGACUGUAGUUAAAAAUCUAGGCGAAUGUGCAGGUUAUUUUCUAGAGCGCUGGGAAUGGUUCUAAAACUGAUAGGGGUCGUGACCAUAGAGGCGUAUGUUUAAAAAUUAAUAUCCGUGAAGUUUUGUGCUUUUUACUGCCUGCUUCAGUUCGUUAGAAAAGGAGACAACACCCUCGUGUUCCAUGUCCUUGUCCCUCUGGUGUAGGUAGGACCACCACCUGUUCCUCCUGCGGCCCCCACGGUCCCAGCUGCCUGCUGCCUCUCUGAACACGGACACGUCUCGUCCAAGGAAAACAGUGUACACAUGGCAAUGUGCUAGAGCCAGACCAUGGGAGGCAUGUGUAUGUGUGUGUGUUUAGGAAUUGAGUGCCUCCUUUUGGAGUGGAACAAAUAAAUACACCGCUCCCCAGUUUUGAGAAGAGGAAUGCAGACAUUUGGGGUGCUGUCGUGCAUGGCUAAUGAGCACCAGUAAAGGCGUUUGGCUUCCGAGCUGAACACGGUUGGAGAAAACAGGAAGCCAUCUGGACAGAUUUAUCAUUAGAAAAGAUUUCUGGUAAAUUUAUCUAUAAAAGAUUAUUUCUUCCUUAAAAAUUACUCCAUAACUGUAGUCUUGAAAAACUACGCCCAAUGAUUUCUGUGAGAAAUCUGCAAUUAGUUAUUCUGUUUGUCUCAUGAGGUACUAAGAGUAAAUGGUCUAGUACA